AUCUUAUCUUGAUUUCCCACUUACAAAAGUGAAGACCCAUCAUACACUGACUGACAGCUCAAAGACUAAUAAUACACGGACCGACAGCAUCACAUGGUGGGAAUCUUAUCUUGAAAACCUAAUCCUAAAAUUAUACCCAAAUCAAAAGCUAGAAAACAAGAGCUCGUCAAAAUCUCUAAAGUCAAAAUCCGCAAUCUCUUCUUUUCCCUAAUCUAGAAAUCCUUAAGAUCGAGCAACUGAAAACAUACAUUACUUAGCAAGAGCAUUAGGAAGAGGUUAUUUGCUUGUGGUCCCAUUUGCUAGUGUUGGUAUUGCUUGGUUAAUUCAUCGAAAAUGAAGCAAGAAAGUCACUAUCUGCGGUGGACCAUCGUGUUUCCUAACCAGGUAAGGAUUAGUCUUUCUUAGAUUUCUUUAAUACUUUUUAUGUUAUGUGGUCCCUAAGCUUAGCAAUUUUAUAAGUAUUAUAUUGUCAGUGCACAUGCUAUUGAAUUUCUUUAAUUAUUUUUGUUUGAAAUUGCUUGUGUGUGUUUUUUAUUAGGUUUUCUAUUGUUGUUAUUGUGCUACUGCGGUAUAAAUUUAAUGCUAGUCUGAGAACAUUUUAAAUUCUUGUAUUGUUUACCAAGUAUGACAGACAUUAAAGUGGAACUGGUUGUUACCAUGGGGGUAGCUUUGUUCAGGGUAGGGGUAACUCUCGUAGGUAUGUUGGAAGUGAGAGUAAAACAAUGGAAUAUGAAUUUGAUAUAGACUUAUUAUCUUAUCCAAAUGUUAUAUCCUAUAUGAAGGACCUAGGUUACAACAGGAUAUCUAAGUUAUAUUUUAAGAAUGCAGUGGGUGGGGACUUCACCCUGAUCUUUAAUGACAAUGAUUUAAUGGCAAUUAGUAAAUGUGCUAGGGAUGGAGAAAUGCUAGAUUUCUAUAUUAACCAUCAUAAUAGUGAGAGAUUGGGUACUGGUACAGCUAACAAUUCUCAACCAUUUGUAGAGGUAGUAAAUAAUUAUCCUAGUUUUAAUAAUGUCAAUGUUGAGGACCUUGUUGAGAAAGAUGAAGCUAUUCUUGAGUUUGUCCAUCAUCAGACCUUUAAUGAUACUUAUAUUAAUAUCCCUUGUCUAACUGAUGAUGAGGAUGAAGAGCUUUAAGAAGCUAGGGCUAAUGUGAGAGAAUCUUGGUAUAGGACUAAAGCAAAGUUACCUAAGGAAGCUACUAGGGAACAAGGCCAGAGUGUGCCUAUCGAUAUAAUUGGGGAUGGUCAAGAAUCUGUAGAUGAUGAUGAGGUAGCAGGGGUUAGUGAGAGUGAUGAAGGUAAUGAUAAUAUGUACUAUGACAGUUCUGAUUUAGGUAGUUAUUAUGAGACAAAUGAGGAACUUGGUAAGGAUGCAGUUAGAAAAUCCAAGACCAUAAUAAUCUAGGAGCCAACUACAACAAUUCCUAUUUUUUAUUUGGGUAUGACUUUAAAAAACAUGAAGGAGGUAAGGAAGCUGUAGCUGAAUAUACUGUUAUAAAGGGCUUAUGUGUGCAUUUUAAGAAAAAUGACAAAAAAAGGCUGAGAGCUACAUGUCAAGAAGGUUGCCCAUGGGUCCUACAUGUCAGUAUUCAUCAUGCAACUAACACUUUGACUGUAAAAACAUACAACCCUCACCAUAAGUGUUACAGACAUAACAAAUCAAUUUUUUACAAUAGCGAGUACUUAAAGGGAGUCUAUAAAACAAGGAUAAUGAUACAACCAAACCUUAAGUUAAAAGAUUUCAGGGCAUUAGUACCAAGUGAGCUAAAAAUGAGUGUGAGUAUACAUGUUUGUAGGCAUGCGAAGAAGAAAAUUUUAACUGAAUUAAUGGUAGUUAUAGAGAAGCAUAUGCACUUGUCCAUGAUUAUGCUAAAGUUACUACACAAACAAAUCCUGGUUCAACUUGUUUUACCAAGUCAUGCACUGAAAAUAAAUAGGGCAGAUCAUUAUUUAGCAGAUUCCAUAUGUGUAUAGAUGCUUACAAGAGGGGCUGGGUAGGCUGUUUUCUUAAGGGAGUGUUCAAGGGCCAACUGUUAUGUGUUAUAGGACGUGAUGGAAACAACCAAAUUCUGUUGGUUAAACAACUAACUACAGCUCUCUAUACUUCUUAACUAAGAAAGAAGUCGUCUUGGUAUUGGAUUCUCUCGUACCCUUCUUGCUUGGCGGUACAAAGAAAUUCAGAAUGAGCACAUCGACUUUCCAAUAGCAUGGAGUGUGGUUCAGUUGGAGACAAAGGCAACAUGGGGUUGGUUUCUCAAGUGUUUGCAACAUGAUCUGCCAACUGGUGAUGGGGAAGGAUACAUUGUCAUCUUUGAUAUGCAUAAGGUAACAAUUUUGCAAUACAUUUUAACUGUUAUUUGGAAUAUUUUUAGUAUGUAUUUAAUAUUUAAAAUUUUCACACGGGUUAGAAAGUGCUGUGAGGGAAUUGUUUGUCCAAUGCUGAGCACAUGAUGUGUACUAGGCACAACUAUGCUAAUUGGGCUAAGACAUGGAGAAGGGUGGAGAGAAAAAUAGGUUUCUAGAGUUGUGCGCAAGCUACAUUCAAGAAAGAGUGGAAGGAAAGAUUGGACCAAUUAGAUAGUUGGGUGAUGGAAUUGUACAAAUGCUUUAGAGUAUGAAAUUGAGAGUUGGUGCAAAUCAUAUCUUAAUAUAUAAGUUAAGUGUGAUGUGGUGGACAAUAAUUUGUUAGAGACAUUCAAUGUUUAGAUUUUAGAGCCAAGAUGUAAGACAAUAAUAUUAAUGUUGGAGGAUAUUAGAGUGAAAGUGAUGAAUAGAUUGUAGAUGAAAAAGGAGUCAACAAAGACAUAGAUUUGUAACAUAUCUCUAAGAGUAAUGUAGAAGUUAGAGAAAAACAAGAAAAAAUCUUUCAACUCGCAGAUGGAGUGGAAUGAUAAUAAAGGGUAUGAGAUCAUAAAUGUUUAUGACUUAGAAGAUAGGCACACUAUCGAUACAGAAAGAAGAACUUGCAACUACAGGGAAUAGGAUCUCACAGGCAUUCCCUGUCAAUAUGCAGUCUAUGCAAUAUACUAUAAAUCAUCUCGUCCUGAAGACUUUGUGCAUGAUUGGUAUAAUAAGGAAAUAUAUUUAAAGGCCUAUGCUUUUACUAUUCAAUGUGUUCCUAGUAAGAAGCAUUAGGAAUCUACUAGCGAGGAGAGGAUUGAGCCUCUAGAGUUUAAAAAUGUCUGGUAGACCGAAGAAAAAUAGGAGAAAAGGUAAGGAAGAAGUGAAGAAAACUAGAAAGAUUUCAAGAUCUGGAAGGAUCAUGACUUGUGGUGUUUGUAAAGAGGCUCGGCAUAACUUAUGAAGAUGCCCUAAAAGAACUAUUGAUACUCAGGUGAAAGUGAGAAAGAAAGUUAACAAACAUAAAGUUGAUGGAGCACAAAUGAAAUCUAAGAAGAAUGGAGCUGGUGUAAACCCUCAAGACAACUUCACUGCAGCUGAAUUGAUGAAGGAAUAUUCAAAGUCAAAAAGUAAACAAUCCAACCAAAAAGACAAGGAGGUGCAUCUGGAAAAAAUCCUAAUGCUGGAAAGGUUGAUUUAAAAGGGAAAAGGAAAGAACUCAAUGGAGAUUGUAGGUUUAGCCCUAGCCUGUUCACUUCUCAAAUGGAAUCUGUUCCUCACUAUUCAUAGCCUGCUCUUAAUACCGUCAAUGACCAUGUUGUGAAGCAUUUCUCAUUGCAGCCAAUAAAUGCAAGCAAGAAAAGUAACACAAAAGCAACUUGAAAAGGUGUAGGGUGCUAUGUGAUCUUAAAGACAGGAUCAACAUCAUUACAGUAAUUAGUUAUAUUACUUUGAUUUUUAGUGUGCAUUUGGUCAAACUCAAAUUAAUGGUAUUUAUUUUUUUAUUACCAGUCUUUGGGACAAAAGCCAUGAAAGUUAUAUGGUGGCUAUGCAACUGGUGGGUCAAGCUCACAAGUCUCUUAGAAAUCACUGCUACAGGACCUAACAAAGGAUCAAUUACUGAUAAAGGAUUGCCUUGAUGCUUCAUUUCAAGCCAGAGGUCUGCAUCUGAAUGGAAGUCCAAUUGUUUCACUGUCAUAAUUACAAGCAAAAAGAGACAAGAGAAUUGGUGCUACCACUAGACCAAUAUGGAGACCCUAAAGCUCUAUGAAGCAAGAGACAAUUUUUUGUUGUUGUUAAUGUAUUAAAAUAUAUGGAUUCUAUUUAGAUUUUGUUGGGAUUUUGUAUUACACUUCAACUUUUUUGUUAGACUCUAAUUAGUUUAUAAUAUCUUGCAACUUUUUAUAA